rnacentral:rRNA from 1 species
GAUGAACGCUGGCGGCGUGCUUAACACAUGCAAGUCGAACGGAAAGGCCCAAGCUUGCUUGGGUACUCGAGUGGCGAACGGGUGAGUAACACGUGGGUGAUCUGCCCUGCACUUCGGGAUAAGCCUGGGAAACUGGGUCUAAUACCGGAUAGGACCACAUUUUGGAUGGUGUGGUGGAAAGUUUUUCGGUGUGGGAUGAGCUCGCGGCCUAUCAGCUUGUUGGUGGGGUAAUGGCCUACCAAGGCGUCGACGGGUAGCCGGCCUGAGAGGGUGGACGGCCACAUUGGGACUGGGAUACGGGCCAGACUCCUACGGGAGGCAGCAGGGGGGGAUAAUGCACAAUGGGCGCAAGCCUGAUGCAGCGACGCCGCGUGGGGGAUGACGGCCUUCGGGUUGUAAACUCCUUUCGCUAGGGACGAAGCGUUAUGUGACGGUACCUGGAGAAGAAGCACCGGCUAACUACGUG